AAAUAGUGAAAAUCAACUGAAAUAAUCCGUUUUUGUAUUGAUAUCACGUAUUCCAGAUCAGCAAUGAAGACAAUGAAUUUAGACUCUAGAAACUGAUUAAUUUUAUAUUACUGUCAUAGUAUACAACAUGAACAUGCAGUCUCGAAACAUUGAAAAAAUUAUCAAAAAUGAAUUCUGUGAAGUUAACUUUUGAUGAAGGCUUUUCUAUACACUAAUCCUGACAAUUAUUCAAUCAAUCAAUAAACCUGUUCAACGAUCAAUCAAUCAAGAUGAGUUUAUUUCGACGGAAGAAGACGGGAAAGGUUAUCCCUGUUAAAAUCAGUACGAUGGACGCAGAACUAGAGUUCAGUCUCGAUUAUAAGGCUACUGGCCAGGAACUCUUUGAUCUAGUAUGUAGAACUAUCGGUUUGCGUGAAACUUGGUAUUUCGGUCUUCAGUUUCAGGAUUGCAAGAAUUAUAUUGCCUGGUUGAAAUUAGACAAAAAGGUGAUGGAUCAGCCGGAUAUACUUAGUCAUUCCCCUGUUCAGUUCCUCUUCCUGGCCAAAUUCUAUCCAGAGGAUGUUUCUGAGGAGCUUGUUCAAGAAAUAACUCAACAUCUUUUCUUUCUACAGGUUAAACAAUCCAUACUGAACAUGGAUAUAUACUGUCCUCCUGAAGCUAGUGUACUGCUCGCCAGCUAUGCAGUACAGGCUAAGUAUGGGGACUAUGAUGAAGCUAGCUACCAACCUGGACUACUUGCUAACGAAGAUCUCCUGCCCCAACGUGUAAUUGAUCAGUAUAAGAUGACACGGGAGAUGUGGGAGGAAAGAAUUAAGGUUUGGUAUGCAGACCAUAGGGGAAUGUCUCGAGAUGAGGCUGAGAUGGAAUACUUGAAAAUAGCACAGGAUCUAGACAUGUGCGGUGUUAACUAUUUCCAGAUAUUUAACAAGAAGGAAUCAGAUCUAUGGUUGGGUGUCACAAAUCUAGGUUUAAAUAUUUACGAAAAUGAGAAUAAGUUAACUCCAAAAAUCAUGUUUCCCUGGUCCGAGAUCAGAAACAUCAGUUUUGAUGAUAAGAAAUUUAUAAUAAAAACCGUUGAUAAAUCCUCCUCAAACUUUACUUUCUACUCAAAGAAAUUGCGAAUGAAUAAACUGAUCCUUGAUUUAUGUAUUGGAAACCAUGAUUUAUUCAUGAAACGACGGAAGCCCGACACAAUGGAGGUUCAGCAAAUGAAAGCUCAGGCUAAAGAAGAAAAGCUGAGACGACAAAUAGAGCGGAGUAAACUAGCACGUGAGAAGCAGCUGAGAGAAGAGGUGGAGAGAGAGAAGGCAGCCUUGGAGACAAGGCUUAUACAAUACCAGGAGGAGGUUAGACAAGCUAAGGAAGCGCUACAGCGAAGUGAAGAGAGUGCUGAACUCCUGGCUGAGAAAUCUAUGGUAGCUCAUCAGGAAGCUAUGCUACUUCAGCAGAAAGCUAGUGAGGCUGAAGCUGAGGUACAGAGGAUCAAGGUUUCUGUAAUUAAAACUGAGGAGGAGAGGCAGCAUAUGGAGAGGAAGUCACGUGAGAGUGAGCUGGUCAUGCGCCGGAUACUAGAGGACGCUGAGCGGCGGAAGAACGAGGCGGAGAACCUCCGCCUGGAGGUUCAGCAGGCUAGGGAGGCGGAGAAGGAAGCAAAAAACAAACUUCUUGAGUUCUUGAAUAUCUCUGUAACAGAGAUGAAAGGUUCGCCUACAGGAGGUUCAGGGGGUACUCCGGCUCCCUCCUGGAAUACAGGGAACUCCUGGCAGAGGAACGGGUACUCUCCGGGGGACAUGGAGCGGAGACAAGGUUCAAAUCUGUCUCCAGAAUUUAUUCAUGAACUGAGGAACCAGAGUUUUGAUCAGGGGAAUCAGGGACACCAUGGAAACCAGUUCUCUUUACAUCUUCAGAAUGAGGAACUCACCCAGUCAGCAUUGGAUAUCAGUAAUGGUUUUAAUGGAAGGCAUCUAAGUCAUUUCUCUGUUCCCAACCUGUCCAUACCAGCCUACGCCCACAGGUUUGAUUUAUCCUCGUCUGUUUCCCAUGAAUUAAUGACAGAAAACGACAUGGAGGCGUUGUCCCUUGAGAUUGAGCGAGAACGCUGGCAGUAUUUGGAGAAGAGUAAAACUCUUCAAGAUCAGCUAAUCACAUUCAAAUCAGAGAUUGACGAACUCAAGGUUGAUGAGAAUAUGAGUGAACUUGAUAAACUACAUUCAGAGCAACAACAUCUGGGAGACAAUAAGUACUCAACUAUUCAGAAGAGGAAUAGAACCAAGAAUAUAAUACAACUAUAUAAACAAUACAAAUAGUAACUAACAAAAUGUAUGAAGCUUUAAUAUCAAAUAUUUAGAUGUUUUUCCAAAAAAAAAUUAUUUUACAAAAAAUCUGUCCAAAAAUCAGCAAGACCAAAAAGGCUGUUUAAUAGUAAGACGACAUUUAACAAUCAGUAUAUUUUAAGAAAAUAUUUUUACCAUUAGAUUGAAAAUUAAUUUCAAAGCGGAAACAGGGUUUUGAACACUGCACAAUCGCCGUGGACUUUUUAAAAUUAUAACUUGAUUCUUACAGUCGUCUUUAUGUAAAACUAUUCUGUGGGUCUCCUUCUAGAAUUAGAAAACGAUCUCUAGUUAGAUUUAUCAACAUAAAUCUUCAUUAAGAUCUAUUAAUUAUUCAUUAAUAAUUGUGGUGUGAUAUAAAUGUGCCUUAUCUUAAAAAGUUGUUAAUUGUUGAAAUAUAUUUUACACAAACUUA
rnacentral:misc_RNA from 1 species